ensembl:processed_transcript Platr14 pluripotency associated transcript 14
GGGGACAGCAUAUAUGGUUCAGACUACAAACUGCUUCUGUGUGACUAAGAGAAGAAGAAUCAGAGUAAAGAGAAACAUACUCUCUUAAUCUCCGAAGAUUAACGGCAGGAGGAGCUCUAGAAUUUCACAAAGGUGCUGUCAGGACACAUGAAAAUCUAGAGAAAAAGACCAGCUUGAAGAGACCAAAAAGAAGAAAGCCUGCCAAUCACAAUCCUCCAGAGAUUCUGAGACACACACACCCCUGGUGUAGGGGGACACCAUCUGAAAGGUGACACCCACUCUACGGAAUAUAAGUACCAGCUAAAGAGGACACACACUUGAAGAAAAAGGAGACAAUGAGGUCUUGUGAAUGCUCUAAUUUUUCAAAGCUUACUUUUAAUGAUGGUUCUUAAACGCUUUAACCUCCCUUCUAGUCCACCACCCACCAAAGGUAGUGAAAAGAAAGGUGAUUAGGAUACAGACAAAGUGAACCUGUUCAGACAUGGUUCUUUGGUGCACAACCUAGCAGGAACAUCCAGGUCUCAGUGGAAUCAGCUC